ensembl:lncRNA
GUAAGCCAAUUUAAUGCCUUUAUGACAUUAGUGGUAGUGUGUCCACAACCUUGAGUUUAGAUUGGAAGAGAUUGAGGAAGGGCACGGAUACCUCAUUUGCCAGAGGCUGGGGAGUGAUGGCAGGAGCAGACUGCAGAGCUGCUCUGUUUGUGGGUUCAGAUCAGAGUUAAGCUGGCAUCAGGGCAAUUACAUUGCAUGUUGGUGCUCUCCUCAAGAGUUCUCCCCAGGCCUUCCCCAGCCAGGAUCUUCAUGCUUGUGGUUUCUGGUCCCCAUGAGUAAGCACCUCUGGCAGGUUCAGCCCUGGGAGGGCACUUCGUGCCUUGUGAUGAAUAACGGAGAGGGUUUUGUGGUGCUGCAGGGCAUCAGAAUUAAACCUCGUCCGAAAGAACACACACAUCACCCUCCAUCAGCUACUGCAGGAGAGAUCAGUGGUAUUUCUAGAGCGAUGUUAUAACCCAAGAGGGAUAAUAAUCUGUGAAGUUAGUUUUUUGCUGGUUCCUUAUAAGAAAAGUACUCAUUCUGCUCAUGAUAACACAGGCAAAAGUGAGGAGAUUUUUGUGCAGUUUUUCCUUUCUUUUGUUAUUUGUGCUUAAGGUGACCUUUAUAUCACUGGAAAACUACACUGUUGGGCACAUCUACUGGAAACCCAAAACCAGAGAUGACAGGCUGGUCUCCAUCCCUUAGGGAUUAGAACAAUCUCAUUGUUUAAUAGCUAAGCGACAGGUUUAAUGUUUAAACUAUAAAGUCCCUCUUUAGCUCAUUCUGCACUGGGACACUUGGUUGUUGAGUGAUUUCUGAGACUGUGUCCCCACAUCAGGUGUCAGAAAUAGUCACUGCUCUCUAGCCUGGAAUUGUCACUGCCAUGAAUACAGAAAUACCAGUUUAAAUGUUUAACUUCUUGGGAAACAUAAUUUUAAAUGCUUCCCUGUGAGUUCAAGCAUUGGAUUUGGUGAGUUGGCAAGGCAAAGGCUGCCCAUGUUCUGGAGUCCGAGGAGGCUUUCUGCUAAGCUACAUUUCAUGCUGGCUUUCUGUUAGCAGGUGGAUGGCACAGGCAUGUAGGACAAACACUUCCUUCCAAAAUGCUGAGUUUUAGGUUUUGGGUUUUUUUCACCUGAAGAAAAAAAUAAAUAUAAAUGUUGUCUGUUUAGUAAGCAGUUAUGAAGCAAGUAAAAUUAUGUCCAAGCUGUGCUCUGUCUUGAAUGAAACCAACUGCUGCCUUAUUCCCAGGCUCACCUAUAAUGACCAGUUCCUCUGGCCCGAGAGCUUUCUUCUGUGUGCUUGCACUCAGCUCAUCAGCACAGCCUGAGAUUGGCCUCCACCCCUACUGACAUGAGCUCUUCCAUAUAGACAUGGUGGAUUAGAUGUACGCCCUUGAUAAGUGCUUUUAUUAAAGGACUGAGUUUAGAAGAAGAGUUUAGAAAGAGUUCAGGAAGAGUUUAGAAAGUACCAGAACAUCACCCUGUAGUCAGUGUUGCAGGUUACUCUAUAACCAAGCUCAUUUCUCACCUGCCCCUUGUUUCUCCCACUCUCUUGUCUCAGCCUUUUUUGCCAAGAACCUACAUGUGAAACAUGGAUACACUCACUCUGUGCUGAUUCAGGGCUGAACAGCACUGGUCAUCGCUGAGAACUGGGGGAACCAUCCCUUAGCAAGAACACAUAAAAAAAAUUGCUUAGAUCCUCCAUGGCCCUCAAAGAAUUAACUGUCUGUAUACAAUACUGUAUUUACAGAGGUCAGAGGUGACUGCACGUUAUCCAGGACAAGCAGAAAGACACAGUAGGUGAUAUUUUGCUUAUAUAAUCUAUAAUUUUCCAGUUUCAGAAGUACACAUUUCAAGAGUUGAUGGAAUUUAGUUCUUUUCUGUGAUUUAAUUUUAUGCCCUGCUUAUCCCCUUGAUUUUUUGGUCACUGAAGUUCAUUAGUCAUUGCUGGGAACUCUUAUGUCACUGUUUUCAUUGCAGAGGGUUAAUAAAUCCUUACAGGAUAUUUCACUGUUGAUCUCAGCUGAUUGGUUUUAUGGGCAGCAGACAGCUGUCGUUAACAUAGGUUUUCCACAUGACUUGGUGGAAGUCUGGCUUUAAAUUUUACACAGAAAGUUAUAGAUGCCUUGUUUUCAAAAGAAAUUAGUGCAGUUUAGUGUUGUUCUUAGGUCACGUGUAAAACUAAAACCUUCUUCACCUCCUCAUACAACCUUGUCCUCCAGGAAGUUAGCAGAGAACAAUCAGGUCAGAAAUGAAUGAAAAUGCAUUUCUUUGCAUUAGAAUGUUGGCUUAAUGUUGAUGAUCACCCAAAGAAGAACAGGAGGUUUGAGUUUCACUGUAGGUACCAUAAACAUAUGUUAAAUGAUGUUAAACAGAGCCCUUAUCUAAAAUACUCAAUUGCAGUUGCUGUCAAGCAGCAAAAUCCCUAUUUUAUUCUAUUUUUUAAUAGAAAGACCUUUUAUUUGAACUCAGAGAUGAUAAGACAGACAAAAUGCCUUGCAACUUUUCAAGACUGCAGAGAAAAUGUAAAAUAUUGCCAUUAUCAGAGUUUUCCAAAUAAAAAAUCAAUAGUAAUAGGACAAUUUAGCAACAUUAAGAAACUUCUCAAACAAAUUUGAUGAUGUUUUAGAGGGGAAGAGGCACGUGGAAACCAACAGGAAUAUAAAACUUGGGAACUUGAUUGGAAAUCUUUCAGGUCCAGUCUUGGAAUCAUAGAAAAUGUAUACAGAUGAUGCUGCUCGUGAAGAAACAAAAAUCUAUUAAAACACCUCCUGUGCAUCAGUAAAAGUGCUGGAAAGAAAUGUGAGUUUUGACUGUUGCUAAGAAGAGAUGUGGCUGUGUACAUUGCCCGGGUCCUCUCCAAGUGACAACUCACAGGCAGGGGAAAAGAGACAUCAUUUAGGAGUUGGACUAGAUGGCUUCCAGAGGUCCGUUGCAACCUCAACCAUUCCACAUUUCUGUGAUUAGAAGAGAUUUUAUCUAUCCACUUUGCUGUGGUUCUUACUCUGGUGGCUUUUGAGGAAGCAUUCUCUCCAGGUUUGUCCCACCUGGAACAUGUUGAAACAGCACGAGCAUAGAGAUGCAAGUUACCAAAAUCCCAAUGGUCAAAAAAAUGGCAGGUUCAGCUGCAGUUUAUGGAAACAGGCAUAAUUGUUAGGGUUCAGAGCUGGCACUGAGCAGAGGAGCUGGCUUCCAACUCAGGAGGUCACUCAAACUUUGGGUUUGGACUGUCCAGUUUUCUCUGAGAAAUCAUACCCAAACGCUUCUGUGUGGUGCCAGAAAAUAUGUAGGUCUCCUCACUGUAAAAAAUCAAACAAUUAUUACAGGAUCUGGAUAAUCUCCACAUGCACACAAUAGAAGAAGUUUAGGGAAAGUUUUGUUGAAAAGAGGAAAUUUUGUCUCAUUAAAUUUGGUGGCAAAAAAUUCCAAAUUCAAGCAUGAUUUCACCCUAUGUUACACUCUUGCCAUUGUGUAGAUUUUUGGUUAUAGAUAAGGAUCAGCCAGGGUUUAUAACUAAGUUUAUUUUGUAGUAAGUCUGUAGCAGCAAUUAAAGUUCCAAAACAGUUUUCACAUACUAGUAAUUUAAAGAAAAGUACAUCUCUGAAGAUGUAAUUUUCCAUUUUAAUCUCCAUCCAAAGAUAUUCUUUAACUUUGGGCAAAUUCCUGUCAAACAGUUUGAGUUAUAAUUGUAUGAAAAAAGAUACUCUGCCAGAUGUAAGAGAAAGAUGACUGCUGACAUUUUUAUUUCUUUUCUACAAGAUAAGCCAUGAGAUCUGACCUCUGAAGAACGGUGUAUAAGUAACCACUCAGGAACUUGUUCAUAAAUGGACUGGAAAAGUAAAGUGGAAAAAAAGCUUAAAUUAUUAAGCCUGAAUGUUGGGUAAUAAGAGUGAACAGUAGAAAUAUGGCAAUUAGAUAUUUAAAUUAUUUUUGAUUCUCAGCCUUCUGCCUGAACCAUACCUGAGACAGUAAAGCUAGUACAUAUGGAGCAGAUAUCAGAGCAUGGGUUAUUUCAACAUCCAGUGCAAUAAUUAUGGCUAUAUUCAGUAUCACAAAUCUCGAAAUUGCAUCAAGCAACUUAAAAAAUAAAUUAAUUAUACUAUCACAAGGCAAACUUGGAAGAAAGUAAUUAUUCUUAACAUAGAAUAGUUCUGAGUAAAGAAUUAAUUUAUUGAUUUAGUAGUGUAGAAUUUGAUUACUUAACGUAUAAAUUCUCCCAGGAAUAGAGUCCUGGGGCAUCCUGAGAGGAGUGACUGAAUAACUGGAGACCUUAACGUGUAGAGGUCUUUGUAGGGUGCUCAGUGUAUCGAGUAAAAGAAAUCAUUAAUCCAAGCUACCAUCUAGCUGUGUUUGCCAUCUUGACUACUCAUCACAAAAAUUUGUCAGACUUAUUCAGAACAAAAAAUACAGAUGUAAUUCCCCACAAGUCCCCAGAGGUGUUUUUCAUUAUGGUUAGUUAUAUAUGGAAGAAACAUCAACAUUUCCUUGAUGCCUGACAGCACAAAAUCCUCAAAUAAAUAGCUACAAUAUUGGGUCUCAUAGUGAAAUUUUUAUAAUGUGCCAUACAAUUUUUAAUAUCUACAACAUAUGCAAAGUAGGAUCAAUUUUCUUACACUAGCACAGCAAAUGCGCCUCUAAGAUCCAGUUAAUGGUAUUAAGGUGCACUGAUAUAUUAUUUUAUUUUCUGACUUUAUCUAUAUUAAAAACAAAAUAAACUGAGAUUUUUAUUCCUCCUUACACCUGUAGAAGUAAUUCUUUAUGUGGUCUGAAUGAAGAUAUGAUAAUGGAUCAUCUUAGUAGCAAUGUAUCACUAUGAAUAUGCAUUUGUUUUUCACGAGAAGGAUAUUUUAGGAUCGGGGGGAUAGCACUAGUUCUUAAAAGUAGACUAAAAUUAAAGCUUCUGAGUCCCAGGUGGAGGCAUUAAGAAACUAAAAUACCUGAGUUGAGGAAACCCCCAGCUUUGUGAUCAUGGUUAGACCUUCCAUCUGUAACACUAGAUAUAGAAGGAAAAAUACAACAAUCUGUAUUGCUGUGGCUCCUGGAAAAGCUGAAAGUGUGGGUACCAGUUAUUUACUGGACAGCAUGAAACCACAAAAUAAAUUUAACAGUUUGGAGCCCUGAUCCUUCUCAUUUAUGUUUCUGUUUUGCACUGUCCUUAGAAAAAGCACAAGUCUAAAAAAAGCCAAGGAUAUAAUACCCUGAUUUCCACCAUCUACUUAGCCUUUGAUAGAAGUUUUCUUAUUGAUUUCAAUAACUUGAGCUGCAUAGAAUCAAUCUUGAUAUGCUUUGCUUUAUUGAGACUACUCCCAACCUUGAAGUUAAGCAUUAAGGCUCAGAUUCUCGUGGGUAUCUACAUGUUUAAUUAUUUUCCCACAUCAGAACUAGCAGAUAAAGAUGUGUUCCAAAUUCUUGGCCAUAAGGGCAUGACAGUUCCUAGACACUUGUUUCUGAACCAGGCAGCCUGCCAGGUGGAAGGCUUAUUUGCCUCAAAACUUCAAGAAUCCAGUGUGUCAGGCUGGC